rnacentral:tRNA from 1 species
GCCCCUGUAGCUCAACUGGAUACCAAUAAGGCCAGAAAGAGCGAUGCCCUCCUAAGGCAUAGGUUGCGGGUUCAAGUCCCGUCAGGGGCA